CACGUAGGGGGCGAGCGUUGUCCGGAAUUACUGGGCGUAAAGGGCGCGCAGGCUGUUAUGCGAGUCUGCUGUGAAAUGUACCGGCUCAACCGGUGCCUUGCGGCGGAUACUGCAUAGCUGGAGUACUGGAGAGGGAAGUGGAAUUCCCGGUGUAGUGGUGAAAUGCGUAGAUAUCGGGAGGAACACCGGUGGCGAAGGCGGCUUUCUGGCCAGUUACUGACGCUCAUGCGCGAAAGCUGGGGUAGCGAACCGGAUUAGAUACCCCCGUA
rnacentral:rRNA from 1 species